GGAUUAAAAGAACAUUGAUGAACAUUUGACUCAUCAAAAUUUAUGUUUUGAACUUAUUGAAGUGCAUUGUGAAAACAGUUAACUUAUGUUUCAUCUCAAUCUUCUCUUGUUUAAGUGGACUUUCAGUGUUUGUUGAAAGUUUGGAAAGUUCAUCUGAAAAUCACAAUGUAAUGUUUCUUUCAAUGUUGAUUCUGGAUGUUAUUUGAGUCUUCAAAUAUUGAAACUUACAAAAAGCAAUUAGUGAUCCAUUGAAGUAUACAAUACUUUUAAAAUUAGUACUAUUAGAACUGCCUUGUUGUUCAAUAGUCCUGUCUUAUUUAUUUCAGCACACUCUUAAUACAUGAGUUUGAUUAUUCCUGGAUACAAAUAAAAUGGAUUUGUUGAGGAACAAGGCAGUUUUAUACAGUACUGACUUAUAGGAGGAUUGUGUUCUUCAGUUGUUGUUUUUUUAUUGUUGUGCCAACCACAUUGUGGUUUUCAACAAAAUUUUAAUUUUGGAAACUGUGAUUCUUAAAAAUAUUUCCCAACUUUAAAACAAACACUUAAGGUCGAAAUAAGCUAGGAUAUUGCCUUUAUAUUUCAUUACAAAGUGGAACUUAUUUGAAUAUGGAUGAACUGAAGCUCAGCACAUAAUACUUAAUUUUGAGGGUAUUGUGAGUUGGAGAAAAUAAAAGAAAAUUGAUUCUUCAUUAUGCAUGCAUAGCAAGGAAAACCACAACCAGACUACAGGAUGAUCUUUGGAAUAUGUUUUGUAUUAUAGGGAAUGAAAAACAAUUGGCAUUCAAAAGUAUAUAUUGAUUAUCUUGUAAAUCAGUCCGAUAGUUUGGAAUAUUGUGGCUGAAGAUAAGAUUGACAGUUCUUUGUGGUACAUGUUAAUUAAUCAAUGGAUAAUUUGAUAAGAUUUGAAUCAAAAUUCAAGCAUGGAAUUAACCAUAUUUUUAAUAUCCAUCAAAAUUUGUGUGUGUUUCAUCACACACAAGAUAGGCAAUGACUGAGAUGCUUUUUAUGUACCAAAUUUUAUACUUUGAAUAAAAAGUUCUAGAUUUUAAAAUUCUAUUUUCAUUUAAAUAAUAUCUGACCUACAACCC